rnacentral:rRNA from 1 species
UACGUAGGGGGCGAGCGUUGUCCGGAAUCAUUGGGCGUAAAGCGCGUGUAGGCGGUUCAGUAAGUCUGCUGUGAAAGUCCAGGGCUCAACCCUGGGAUGCCGGUGGAUACUGCUGAACUAGAGUGCGGAAGAGGCGAGUGGAAUUCCCGGUGUAGCGGUGAAAUGCGCAGAUAUCGGGAGGAACACCAAUUGCGAAGGCAGCUCGCUGGGACGUUACUGACGCUGAGGCGCGAAAGCGUGGGGAGCAAACAGG